rnacentral:lncRNA from 1 species
GACGAAGGUGCCGUUUGGGCGUUCGGUGUCACGCAAGGACUUGAACACACACAAUGACCUAUUUAACAUAUGAUAACAUAUGUUCACAUACAAUUAGUAUAUUUAAUACUAAUUAAACAAAUAUACGUGCUCAAAGGAGCGGAAAACACUUUGGAUAAGUGUUUGGGUGUCCCGGGUAGCGUCUAAAGGUGUGUAUGGCUAAGGAAUGGAGUUUACUCUCCAAGAGUAAACCCNCUAAUUAAACAAAUAUACGCGCUCAAAGGAGCGGAAAACACUUUGGAUAAGUGUUUGGGUGUCCCGGGUAGCGUCUAAAGGUGUGUAUGGCUAAGGAAUGGAGUUUACUCUCCGAGAGUAAACCCUUAACACUUAGUUUACGGACCAGGGACUACUCACCAUGAGUUUACGGCCGUAAACUCAUGGUGGUGGUAUCUAGUGUGUUUUAAGGCUUCUACUUGUUCAUGGGAUUAUUCUAAGUACUUUUCCAAAAAGGCAUGAGUGGGUUUAAGGCUUCUAAGGGCAUUAUAAUGGAGUUUACGGCCUAGGGACAACUCCUAAGGGAGUUUACCGCCGUAAACUCUCAUCCUUAGAGUUUUGUGAAGUUUAAAGCCCCUAAUACCUUGCUAGUAAUUUAUAAUGAAGUGUGAUGCUAUUUUGGGGGAUUAAAACUAUCAUUUGGAUGUGUUUUGGGGAGUUUACGGCCUAGACACUUGCUUGGGCCGUAAACUCCUUUUUAUCCCUCCAUUUCUUGUGUUUAAGCCCUUGUUUCAAUCCUAGUGUUUUAUGGUAAAUGUCUAAGGCCAUUUGGGGAACAAAAACCACACUUUGGGCCUGAUUUGGAGUGUUUACGGCCUUGGUAUAAACCUGGGACGUAAACUCCUUUUUCCCCUUCAUUUUGAUGAGUUUAAGUGAUCAAAACCCC